AGGUCUUCCAGCCAUUGCCCAACAUUUAAAAGCAAUGCGAGGUUAAUCACGAUACAUGGGUAGAUGCUCUUUCCCUGAGUCCUUAGCUGAUGUUUGUUUUGUAGUCCAUCUUCAGCACAAUGUAGUUUCAACAGGCGGACAUCCGGUGUCACAUUGUUACAGAGAAACGAGUGUAAGGCUGUUCCAAUUCUCAGCACCGCUCCUCUCUUUUCCUGAGUUUUUAGCAAUUCUCCUUCACACGAUGACGUUUUCGUCGAGGCCAAAGAAAAGAGUUUAGGAAAAGGAGAUAGGCGCUAAUUUUGAAAUUACACCACGCGCGGUUACGUUGUGCAAGUGAGUCACGUGACCAAACCGAGUAACAAAUCACUGCAGAGUCGGGAGAAGGGGCGGAGAAAGUAUGUGUGCAGGAGUGGAGUCGAUCAGCGACAGUUGCUUUUUCAUUAAGCGGGAGUAAAGUAGUAAACUUACAGGAACAUAUACCACUACCAACGUUUGGAUCGAUAUCUGCAUCGAUCUGCACACCCUUGUCUCCUGGAUCGUUGCUCAGAUCAGCGUGAACCACGUGGGUCUCUGCUCCCUGAUCUGUUUCUUAAGACUUUCAGCUUCAUCGCGGAGUUUCUCUCGGUUUGUGGGCUCAUCUAAAGGGGUAAACUACGUCUAUAUACUUUUUGUGUCCCAGCUGAGUAACAGCAGAAGAGUCUGGUGGAGCAACAGAGGAACAAUUUCAGCCAUUUGGACUCAGCUCAGCCACUACAGAGGAAACAAUGUCUUUAACACAAAAGGACCAACAUGAGGCAAAAAGUCAGCGCUCUCAGGAGGCCAAAAAACCUCACAGAAGAAAG